rnacentral:rRNA from 1 species
AGUGAACGCUGGCGGUAGGCCUAACACAUGCAAGUCGAACGGCAGCACAGUAAGAGCUUGCUCUUACGGGUGGCGAGUGGCGGACGGGUGAGGAAUACAUCGGAAUCUACUUUUUCGUGGGGGAUAACGUAGGGAAACUUACGCUAAUACCGCAUACGACCUACGGGUGAAAGCAGGGGAUCUUCGGACCUUGCGCGAUUGAAUGAGCCGCUGUCGGAUUAGCUAGUUGGCGGGGUAAAGGCCCACCAAGGCGACGAUCCGUAGCUGGUCUGAGAGGCUGAUCAGCCACACUGGAACGGAGACACGGUCCAGACUCCUACGGGAGGCAGCAGUGGGGAAUAUUGGACAAUGGGCGCAAGCCUGAUCCAGCCAUACCGCGUGGGUGAAGAAGGCCUUCGGGUUGUAAAGCCCUUUUGUUGGGAAAGAAAAGCAGCAGGUUAAUACCCCGCUGUUCUGACGGUACCCAAAGAAUAAGCACCGGCUAACUUCGUG